AAGACUGUAUUUUCAGCGAUCAUUUCUGCCGUUCUUAACUUGAAAUAUGUUUUUAAAGUGAUUCCCGCCAGCCACGAUUAUGGGUUGUUGUGAAUCUUCCUGAGCGCAAAGCGGGUACAGGGAAGUUGUUUAAUGACAAACUCUGCUUUUAUGACCGUUGAGUGCUACUUUAUGGGAUCUUUGAGGAAGGAGCGCAUUCUGAGGGGU